rnacentral:rRNA from 1 species
CUACGGGACGCUGCAGUGGGGAAUAUUGGACAAUGGGCGCAAGCCUGAUCCAGCCAUGCCGCGUGAGUGAUGAAGGCCCUAGGGUUGUAAAGCUCUUUCACCGGAGAAGAUAAUGACGGUAUCCGGAGAAGAAGCCCCGGCUAACUUCGUGCCAGCAGCCGCGGUAAUACGAAGGGGGCUAGCGUUGUUCGGAAUUACUGGGCGUAAAGCGCACGUAGGCGGAUCGAUCAGUCAGGGGUGAAAUCCCAGGGCUCAACCCUGGAACUGCCUUUGAUACUGUCGAUCUGGAGUAUGGAAGAGGUGAGUGGAAUUCCGAGUGUAGAGGUGAAAUUCGUAGAUAUUCGGAGGAACACCAGUGGCGAAGGCGGCUCACUGGUCCAUUACUGACGCUGAGGUGCGAAAGCGUGGGGAGCAAACAGGAUUAGAUACCCCCGUAGUC